rnacentral:rRNA from 1 species
GACGAACGCUGGCGGCGUGCUUAACACAUGCAAGUCGAACGGUAAGGCCUUUCGGGGUACACGAGUGGCGAACGGGUGAGUAACACGUGGGUGAUCUGCCCUGCACUUCGGGAUAAGCCCGGGAAACUGGGUCUAAUACCGGAUAGGACUGCGCGGUGCAUGCCGUGUGGUGGAAAGAUUUAUCGGUGCAGGAUGGGCCCGCGGCCUAUCAGCUUGUUGGUGGGGUAAUGGCCUACCAAGGCGACGACGGGUAGCCGGCCUGAGAGGGCGGCCGGCCACACUGGGACUGAGACACGGCCCAGACUCCUACGGGAGGCAGCAGUGGGGAAUAUUGCACAAUGGGCGCAAGCCUGAUGCAGCGACGCCGCGUGAGGGAUGACGGCCUUCGGGUUGUAAACCUCUUUCAGCAGGGACGAAGCGUGAGUGACGGUACCUGCAGAAGAAGCACCGGCCAACUACGUG